GUGGGGAAUUUUGGACAAUGGGCGAAAGCCUGAUCCAGCAAUGCCGCGUGUGUGAAGAAGGCCUUCGGGUUGUAAAGCACUUUUGGCAGGGAAGAAACAGUGCGUGCUAAUACCAUGCGCGAAUGACGGUACCUGCAGAAUAAGCACCGGCUAACUACGUGCCAGCAGCCGCGGUAAUACGUAGGGUGCAAGCGUUAAUCGGAAUUACUGGGCGUAAAGCGUGCGCAGGCGGCUUUGUAAGACGGAUGUGAAAGCUCCGGGCUCAACCUGGGAAGUGCAUUCGUGACUGCAAGGCUAGAGUGUGUCAGAGGGAGGUGGAAUUCCGCGUGUAGCAGUGAAAUGCGUAGAGAUGCGGAGGAACACCGAUGGCGAAGGCAGCCUCCUGGGAUAACACUGACGCUCAGGCACGAAAGCGUGGGGAGCGAACAGGAUUAGAUACCCCUGUAGUCC
rnacentral:rRNA from 1 species